UACGUAGGGUGCAAGCGUUAAUCGGAAUUACUGGGCGUAAAGCGCGCGCAGGCGGUCCCUUAAGUCUGAUGUGAAAUCCCCGGGCUCAACCUGGGAAUUGCAUUGGAGACUGCAAGGCUAGAAUCUGGCAGAGGGGGGUAGAAUUCCACGUGUAGCAGUGAAAUGCGUAGAGAUGUGGAGGAACACCGAUGGCGAAGGCAGCCCCCUAGGUCAAGAUUGACGCUCAUGCACGAAAGCGUGGGGAGCAAACAGG
rnacentral:rRNA from 1 species